UACAGAGGGGGCAAGCGUUGUUCGGAAUUACUGGGCGUAAAGGGCGCGUAGGUGGCCUUCUAAGUCGAACGUGAAAUCCCUGGGCUCAACCCAGGAACUGCGUCCGAUACUGGAAGGCUUGAAUCCGGGAGAGGGAUGCGGAAUUCCAGGUGUAGCGGUGAAAUGCGUAGAUAUCUGGAGGAACACCGGUGGCGAAGGCGGCAUCCUGGACCGGCAUUGACGCUGAGGCGCGAAAGCUAGGGGAGCAAACGGGG
rnacentral:rRNA from 1 species